GCAGGACAUGGGACGGACACCCUGUAACAAUAUAUAUAGCUCUGUAUGUCUUGGGGAAUAUUCACUAAGCACUGCAAAGGAAAAAAAAAAGUUCCAAACGUCUCGUUUUCUGGUCUAUUGUGAUCAGUUUCUUCUUUUGCUCCUUUAUAUUUGUCAUCAUCUUUUUCAUCAUCUACUCCUCAAGCCUGAAGGUUUGCAGAGAUUGAGAGAAGCCUCUUCCCUUUCACGGGUCAUUCCGUUACACGCUUAUAUUGGGACUCUAAAAGAGUUUUGCUCGAGGGAUGUCUGCUGGCAAACAGUAGGAUGGUCUCCGUAAUUUAAAAGCUUGCCAAUAUCUGUUUCAGUUGGCAAUGGGGUUCCAGAGGAACAUAUUGCUCUUGCAAAAGCCUGAAAGACGUUUCCAUGAUUUCCAG